rnacentral:rRNA from 1 species
GCUCCGCAGGCGGUUUCUUAAGUUCUGAUGUGAAAGCUCCCGGCUCAACCGGGGAGGGUCAUUUGGAAACUGGGAAACUUGAGUGCAGAAGAGGAGAGUGGAAUUCCACGUGUAGCGGUGAAAUGCGUAGAGAUGUGGAGGAACACCAGUGGCGAAGGCGACUCUCUGGUCUGUAACUGACGCUGAUGAGCGAAAGCGUGGGGAUCGAACAGGAUUAGAUCCCGCCGUUAGUCCA